rnacentral:rRNA from 1 species
UACGUAGGGGGCGAGCGUUGUCCGGAUUUAUUGGGCGUAAAGAGCGUGUAGGCGGCCAGGUAGGUCGGUUGUGAAAACUCGAGGCUCAACCUCGAGACGUCGAUGGAAACCAUCUGGCUAGAGUCCGGAAGAGGAGAGUGGAAUUCCUGGUGUAGCGGUGAAAUGCGCAGAUAUCAGGAAGAACACCUAUGGCGAAGGCAGCUCUCUGGGACGGUACUGACGCUGAGACGCGAAAGCGUGGGGAGCGAACAGG